rnacentral:rRNA from 1 species
UGGGUAGCAAACGGGAUUAGAAACCCCGGUAGUCCUAGCUGUAAACGAUGUAGACUUGGCGUUGGCGGAGUUAAAUCUGCCAGUGCCGCAGCUAACGCGAUAAGUCUACCGCCUGGGGACUACGAUCGCAAGAUUAAAACUCAAAGGAAUUGACGGGGACCCGCACAAGCAGCGGAGCGUGUGGUUUAAUUCGAUGCUACACGAAGAACCUUACCAGGGUUUGACAUGUAAGUGGUAGUGAUCCGAAAGGUGAACGACCCCUCGGGGAGCUUACACAGGUGCUGCAUGGCUGUCGUCAGCUCGUGUCGUGAGAUGUUCGGUUAAGUCCGCUAACGAGCGCAACCCUCACUGUGUGUUAUAAGUGUCACACGGGACUGCCGGUUUUAAGCCGGAGGAAGGCGAGGAUGACGUCAAGUCAGCAUGGCCUUUAUGUCCUGGGCUACACACACGCUACAAUGGUCGGUACAACAGGUUGCCAAGCCGCGAGGCGGAGCCAAUCCCUAAAGCCGGCCUCAGUUCAGAUUGUAGGCUGCAACUCGCCUGCAUGAAGCUGGAGUUGCUAGUAACCGCAGGUCAGCUAUACUGCGGUGAAUACGUUCCCGGGUCUUGUACACACCGCCCGUCACACCACGGGAGUCGGUUGUACCAGAAGUAGUUGAGCGAACCUUUCGGGGAAGCAGGCUACCAAGGUAUGGCUGGUAACUGGGGUGAAGUCGUAACAAGGUAGCCGUA